UAUUGGGCAAUGGGGGAAACCCUGACCCAGCAACGCCGCGUGAGGGAAGAAGGUUUUCGGAUUGUAAACCUCUGUUCUUGGGGAAGAGCAGAAGACGGUACCCAAGGAGGAAGCCCCGGCUAACUACGUGCCAGCAGCCGCGGUAAUACGUAGGGGGCGAGCGUUGUCCGGAAUGAUUGGGCGUAAAGGGCGCGUAGGCGGCUGUGUAAGUCAGUAGUGGAAGUCCAGCUUUUAAGGUUGGAAGUGCUAUUGAAACUGUGCAGCUUGAGUGCAGGAGAGGUUAUCGGAAUUCCCGGUGUGGCGGUGAAAUGCGUAGAGAUCGGGAGGAACACCAGUGGCGAAGGCGGGUAACUGGACUGCAACUGACGCUGAGGCGCGAAAGUGUGGGGAGCAAACAGG
rnacentral:rRNA from 1 species